UACGAAGGGGGCUAGCGUUGCUCGGAAUCACUGGGCGUAAAGCGCACGUAGGCGGACUCUUAAGUCGGUGGUGAAAUCCUGGAGCUCAACUCCAGAACUGCCUUCGAUACUGGGAGUCUCGAGUCCGGGAGAGGUGAGUGGAACUGCGAGUGUAGAGGUGAAAUUCGUAGAUAUUCGCAAGAACACCAGUGGCGAAGGCGGCUCACUGGCCCGGUACUGACGCUGAGGUACGAAAGCGUGGGGAGCAAACAGG
rnacentral:rRNA from 1 species